GCAAUGGUGGUGUAGUGGUGAGCACAGUUGCCUUCUAGGCAGUUGACCCAUGUUCGAUUCCUGGCCAUUGCA